rnacentral:rRNA from 1 species
AACGAACGCUGGCGGCAGGCUUAACACAUGCAAGUCGAGCGCAUCCUUCGGGGUGAGCGGCAGACGGGUGAGUAACGCGUGGGAACGUGCCCUUUGCUACGGAAUAGCUCCGGGAAACUGGAAUUAAUACCGUAUGAGCCCUUAGGGGGAAAGAUUUAUCAGCUAAGGAUCGGCCCGCGUUGGAUUAGCUAGUUGGUGGGGUAAAGGCCUACCAAGGCGACGAUCCAUAGCUGGUCAGAGAGGAUGAUCAGCCACAUUGGGACUGAGACACGGCCCAAACUCCUACGGGAGGCAGCAGUGGGGAAUAUUGGACAAUGGGCGCAAGCCUGAUCCAGCCAUGCCGCGUGAGUGAUGAAGGCCUUAGGGUUGUAAAGCUCUUUCACCGGAGAAGAUAAUGACGGUAUCCGGAGAAGAAGCCCCGGCUAACUUCGUGCCAGCCGCCGCCGUAA